CACGUAGGGUGCGAGCGUUGUCCGGAAUUACUGGGCGUAAAGGGCUCGUAGGCGGUUUGUCGCGUCGUCUGUGAAAACCAACAGCUCAACUGUUGGCUUGCAGGCGAUACGGGCAGACUUGAAUACUGCAGGGGAGACUGGAAUUCCUGGUGUAGCGGUGAAAUGCGCAGAUAUCAGGAGGAACACCGGUGGCGAAGGCGGGUCUCUGGGCAGUAACUGACGCUGAUGAGCGAAAGCGUGGGUAGCGAACAGG
rnacentral:rRNA from 1 species